GGGACCUAUAAAACAGGACCCGUGCAGCUGGCCCACCAAUCCCUGAGCUUCUACAUGCUCUGACAGACAGAUUAUGUGGCAGGAAGAAGUCCAGGAUCAGGAAGGUGAUGUCCAGGGUAUGUAGGAAGAUGGAACUGGAACAACAAUGAUAACUGAGGGCUGAGAGGUAAAAUGAUUUAAACUGUAGAAAGGCAUUGAGGACUGCUAUUGCCAACACAAUGAUGUGUCUGAGACAGCUGAACAACAAGAACCAGCAGCAGAUAUAUAGGAACAGAUACUGAAUAUGAAAAUAUAUAAAACAGGAAGAUGAAGAAAGUGAUGCAAA
rnacentral:lncRNA from 1 species